rnacentral:SRP_RNA from 1 species
GCCAGGCACAGUGAUGAGUGCCUGUAGUCCCAGCUACUCGGGAGGCUGAGGUGGGAGGAUCGCUUGAGCCCAGGAGUUCUGGGCUGUAGUGCACUAUGCCAAAUCGGGUGUCUGCACUAAGUUCAGCAUCAAUAUGGUGACCUCCUGGGAGUGGGGGACCACCAGGUUGCCUACAGAGGGAUGAACCGGCCCAGGUCGGAAAUGGAGCAGGUAAAAACUCCUGUGCUGUUCAGUAGUGGGAUCUCGCCUGUGAACAGCCACUGUACUCCAGCCUGGGCAACAGAGUGAGACCCCGUCUCU